rnacentral:lncRNA from 1 species
UGCAGAAUAAAGAGAGAAGACAAACUUCAAGAAACACAGGAGAAAGAUUAUGUGGCACACAAGAAAUUGACAAUGGUUUUUUUUCCUUGAAACUGUUUGAAAGAAGCAAGUUCUUUUUUCAUUAUAGAUUGCAAAACCUUCAAAGUGAAAGUAAUUUGAAACACACAUUGAAGACACUAAUGAGAAAAAAACUGUAACAAGCAUUCAUUGACCCACAUUACCCCA